GUGAAGUGUCUUGCCCAAGGACACAACGACCGAGACUGUCGGAGCCGGGGCUCGAACUGGCAACCUUCCGAUUACAACUCUUGAGCCACGAUCGCCCCUUAAUUUAGAAUUACACACUGCCCAAACCUGACUUUGCCUACAAUGCAGAGAAAAAAGCAAGCAGACCUAUUGCAUGCAUUGAUUCUCAUAUUUCACUGUUACUUUUCAAAGGCUCAAGGACCAAGUAUUCUGGGGAUCCAAGCCACAAGCUUUACUCAGCUGCCCUGAACAACAUGAAGGGCACCUCUGCCUCAAUCACCCUGGACAACAAAAACAUUAGCAACACUUCACCAAGAAGGGGCAAAGGCACCCAAAUACAAAAUGUUUUAGCUGGGAAGGUGAGAAGCAAGUGGACAAAUGAUGAAGUAAAGGUUGCUGCUAAGUACCAGGUAAAAAGGAAUGUGACUGCUGCUUCCAAGCAGAGCCGGCAGCUCGGAAAGGCAGAGACUGGGUUGCCAUAAAGUACUACAUCCACAACAGGAUCAUAGCAUUAAAAGAAAGAUGCAAGAAAAAAAGAAACAAGCAAGAGAGAUACUUUGUUGCUUCCACAGUUAUGUCAGUAUUGUAGUUUUCUGUAUUGCAUUGUUCUUACUCAUAAAUCUGUGGUUUAUGCUGGGUGCUUUUUGCAAUUAAAUGAUAAGAAAGGCAGAUAAUGUUCCACGUUUUUAUUCACAUGAACAUUCACUACAAAAUGAAUUAAUGCAUUACAAUAUUAAGACUUAAAAAGUAGACUGACCACAUUUGACCUAUGUCUUUUUUAAAGUCUCUACACAGCUCAUAUUUACUGUUUUAUUAACACAUAAAUGUCUGAUAUUUCUGUCAGAAGUUACAAGACUGGUGAGCAUUACUAUUGUGCAUCCAUGCCUGUUACAUUGUAAUCUCAAAAGGAGCCAAGCUAAAAAUACAGAACCUACCCUUACCUGGUCCUUAUAAGUCAUGUAUACUUGAAAAUUAUGUGUUUCCAUGGGCUUCACAAUUCACCUAAACAUGAAAUAUCAGUGUGUGACCUUAUGGUGCUCAUAAGUCACAUAAACCUGACAGUGUCCUCACAAGUAGCAUUAAAUUCAGGUUUGACCAAAAUUUCACCCUAGCCAAAAUCUCAACAGAUGGGCAUGUUCCUGGAAGCAUGGGUCAAGUUUUGUGUGAUUCCCAUGCCUCUAGGACCUUCAGAAAGGCACGUUCCCAUUUGUCACAUUUUUGUCAUAGGUCCUGAUAUUUCACGAAAACACGUAUGUGUGUGUGUGUGUGUGUGUGUGUGUGUGUAAAACAGAGAGCGAGAGGGGACAUUGACCUUGCUCUACUUACGUUUGGUUUUCUUGCAAUGGUGGUGAUCCAGGAAUUUAAGCCUCUUCUGCUAUUCUCUAAGUAGCUGUAAGUGGUUGUGCGUCAUUCUGCAGAAGUGUGCCAAGCUAAAUGCCUGGACUGCAAAUGCGAAUGUGGGUCCAGGUCCAUAGUGAAUAAAUCAGACUGCAAAGAGAAGACUGUAAGUUGUAUUGCUUUAGCCAUAGUAAUGACGUAACAAUGAAACUGACAAGUGAUAUAGUUGGGUUAGCUUUAAUGGCUCAUAACACCAUUGGAUAUUUCUAUUUCUCUAUUUUUUUUAAAAAAUAAUUACACCUAGAAGUUUCCACCAAUGGUUGCAUAGCUACAAAGCAUUUUUAAAAGGAUAUCACAGUGUAGUGUUUUGGUUAAUGUACUGCAGUUCUGCAAUAGUCA
ensembl:lncRNA